GGAAGUGAACCAUCUCAGUACCCACAGGAACAGAAAACAACAGUGAUUCCGGGAGUAGCGGCGAGCGAAACCGGAAGAGCCCAAACCUCAUACGUGUAAGCCGGCAGGCGUUGCGUAUGGGGGGUCGUGGGACCUACAGGUUGAGGCUGCCCCUCAGCACAGAGUUACAAAACCUAUAGUUAGCGGAACGGCAUGGAAAGGCCGGCGAUACAGGGUGAUAGCCCCUUAUGCGAAAGCUACUAGGACUCUGAGUGGUGUUCCCAAGUAUGUCGGGGCACGAGAAACCUUGACAGAAUUUGCCGCGACCAUGCGGUAAGGCUAAAUAUGUUCAUCUGACCGAUAGUGAACCAGUACCGUGAGGAAAAGGCGAAAAGAACCCCGAUGAGGGGAGUGAAAUAGAACCUGAAACCGUCAAUCUACAAGCAGUGGAACCCCUAUGGUUUACCAGGGGAACCGCGUGCCUUUUGCAUAAUGAGCCGGCUAGUUAUUUUCAGUGGCGAGGCGAAGCCGAGGAGGCGAAGCCGAAGGGAAACCGAGUCUGAAUAGGGCGACAGUCGCUGGGAAUAGACGCGAAACGGGAUGAUCUAUCCUUGACCAGGAUGAAGUUCGGGUGACACCGAAUGGAGGUCCGAACCAGUGUGGGUUGAAAACCGCUUGGAUGAGUUGAGGAUAGGGGUGAAAGGCCAAUCAAAUUCCGUGAUAGCUCGUUCUCCCCGAAAUAGCUUUAGGGCUAGCGUCGGAUGUUUCGUCGUGCAGGUAGAGACCUGAAUGGACUAGGGGGCUUACCAGCUUACUGAAUCCAACCAAUCUUCGAAUGGCACGCCGUGAAGUCCGGCAGUCAGACUGCGGGUGAUAAGAUCCGUAGUCGAGAGGGAAAGAACCCAGAUCGCCAGCUAAGGUCCCAAAAUACAUGCUAAGUGGAAAAGGAUGUGGAUGUGCUUAGACAGCCAGGAGGUUAGCUUAGAAGCAGCUAUCCUUUAAAGAAAGCGUAAUAGCUCACUGGUCAAGCGGGUCUGUGCCGACAAUUCAACGGGGCUAAAGCAUGUUACCGAAGCUGCGAACGUAAGUGGUAGGGGAGCAUUCCCUACGUCUGUGAAGGUUGACCGUAAGGACAGCUGGAGACAUGGGAAGAGACUCUGUCGGCAUAAGUAGCGUAAAGACGGGCGAGAACCCCGUCCGCCGUAAGACUAAGGUUUCCAACGCAAGGUCAAUCCGCGUUGGGUUAGUCGGGCCCUAAGCCGAGGCCGAAAGGCGUAGGCGAUGGAAAGCUGGUUAAUAUUCCAGCACCAUGAGCAUCUCGUUUGAACGAUGCAGGGACGCAGGAAGGUAGGGACGCAGGGCUAUGGAAUGUCCUGUGAAAGGUAUCAAGGGUGGCGCUUAGGGAAGUCCGGGCGCCAUGAGCCCAAGGCAUCUGACGAAAAGUCCUGAUCCUACACUGCCGAGAAAAGCUGCUAAGGAGAGGUGCUUGUGUCCGUACCGCAAACCGACACAGGUAGUCGAGGAGAGAAUCCUCAGGCGUUUGAGAGAACUCUGCUGAAGGAACUCGGCAAAUUAACCCCGUAACUUCGGGAGAAGGGGUACCCCGGUAGGGUUCAUAGCCCGAGGGGGUGGCACAUAAAUGUCCCAGGCGACUGUUUAACAAAAACACAGGUCUCUGCAAACUCCAAAGAGGAGGUAUAGGGGCUGACGCCUGCCCGGUGCCGGAAGGUUCAAGAGGAGCGGUUAGCGCAAGCGAAGCUGCGAUUUUAAGCCCCGGUGAACGGCGGCCGUAACUAUAACGGUCCUAAGGUAGCGAAAUUCCUUGUC
rnacentral:rRNA from 1 species